rfam:Mustela putorius furo unplaced genomic scaffold scaffold00074, whole genome shotgun sequence.
CUCCUCAGCCAUACCACCCUGAACGCACCCGAUCUCGUCUGAUCUCGGAAGCUAAGCAGGGUAGGGCCUGGUUAGUACUUGGAUGGGAGUUCUCGUGUUUUUAACC